GUAAAUGAACAAACUAGGAAAAACACGAUAAUGAUUUGCAAAUCAACUUCAAUGGCGCAUCAUUCGCAAAAAAAUGCCGAUAUUCGGAUACCCACAGCAACUAUGUUACCCAAAAAAAGUAACUUAUAAAAGCUCGUUUCAAAAAAUGACGCUAGAAUUGACCGAACAAAACAUAAACACUGACGCAUGGAUAAAAACAAACUCCGAAGAUUGGCUCCGUUGUUUCUACUAGAUAUUCACUAUUUUCGGGCUUUAAAACUGAAUCAAGAAACCAUCGGUGCCUGGAUUGUACUUUUAACGACCAUGUCUGAAGACCGAGGACCAAUCGCCAAAAAUAAGUCUAAUGUUAGCCAUCGGAUUUUAGAAAUGGAUUCUGUUCUUGUUAGGAAGGAUACAAGAGCUGUGGAAGAUGUUCGCUACCGCUGGAAGUAUAUCAGGAAAAAGACAGCUAGCGGAAGCUUUCCUGUUCAUCAACAAUAUGAGCAUAACUCUAAAAUUACACUUAUUGAGUCCAUAAUUUUGCUCUGCAGCCAUCGAAGGAAGAUCCGACCCAUUUAGCUGAGAAAGUAUAGCAAAAACUCAGUAGAAAUUUUAAGGAGUCCCUUCCUUGUUGGA